rnacentral:rRNA from 1 species
CCUACGGGAGGCAGCAGUAGGGAAUUUUCGGCAAUGGGGGGAACCCUGACCGAGCAACGCCGCGUGAACGAAGAAGUUAUUCGUAAUGUAAAGUUCUUUUAACAGGGAAGAAAGAGAAAUUUGACGGUACCUGAAGAAUAAGCUCCGGCUAACUACGUGCCAGCAGCCGCGGUAAUACGUAGGGAGCGAGCGGAAUCGGGAAUUAUUGGGCGAAAGGGUUGCGUAGAUGGCAUAGUAAGUCUUUUGUAAAAAUGCUGGGCUCAACCCAGUAGGGCAAAAGAUACUGUAAGGCUAGAGAAUGACAGAGGCAAGUGGAACUACAGGUGUAGCGGUAAAAUGCGUAGAUAUAUGUAAGAACACCAGUGGCGAAGGCGGCUUGCUGGGUCGAUACUGACAUUGAGGCACGAAAGCGUGGGGAGCAAACAGGAUUAGAUACCCGGGUAGUC